GAGGGGACAUGGGAAGGGAAAAAAUGAAAGCUAGUGACAUCUGGUUGGCGUUGACUUUUUUGAGAGAAGUGAUUCUCCUGGUAAGGAGGCUGUCAUUUCACAGAAGUACUCUUGAGGAUAGCUGCAGUCAAGAGUCUGCCCACAGCAAACAGGAGAUGGACAACAGCUUUAAUAGCCUCUGGUACUGACGAAAGGGUUCCCUGCCGACAAUGGUGUUGAGGAGUCUGUUCCUGGCUUAUUCUUCUAGGCCAGUGUCCUCCACUGCUGCUGCUGGCUGAUCUGAUGUACUAAUUCAUCUCCUAUCCUGAAAUUAUGGAUAACUCCCUGCUUCUGACCUGUGUGUGUGUCGCAUGAGUUUGGGCUCUGGGCCUCCACCCUCCACAGCUGGGUCUCCUCUCAAGAUCUCAGUCUUCUUUGUGAGUGCCAUGUUUCUUCAGGCUCUCUCUUGAGUCUGUUUUAGAACAUUCACAUCCUUUGAGUGGUUUCUUUGGGAGAAGCACAAGAAGAUGUCCCCCGGGGCUCAGGGUUUUCACAAACUCUAGUUCAAAACCUACCAGAACACUGGCCUUGCUAGUCUGUGGUGUUCUCGGAAGGAGGUUAAGUCAGUGAAUGAAGAAGAGUCCUUGGUGGCCCAUAUGACCUCAGCAGACGGAUCCUGAGUCCUGCACGGCUCUCCUGAGUUGCUCACCUUGGCUUGCCUGCUUCCUUGGCUGACCUCUACAC